rnacentral:rRNA from 1 species
UGAGGAAUCUUCCACAAUGGGCGAAAGCCUGAUGGAGCGACACCGCGUGAAGGAUGAAGCCUUUGUUGGUGUAAACUUCUUUUCUCUGGGAAAAUAAUGAUGGUACCAGAGGAAUAAGGGGCGGCAAACUUCGUGCCAGCAGCCGCGGUAAUACGAAGGCCCCAAGCGUUAUCCGGAAUUACUGGGCGUAAAGCGUCUGUAGGUGGUUUUUUAAGUCUGUCCAUGAAACUUCGAGGCUCAACCUCGAAUAGUGGUAGAAACUGGAGAACUUGAGUGUGGGAGGGGGAAGCAGAACGGUAAGAGUAGGGGUGCAAUCCGUUGAUACUUACCAGAAUACCAAAAGCGAAGGCAGCUUCCUGGAACACUACUGACACUGAGAGACGAAAGCGUGGGGAGCAAAAG